rnacentral:sRNA from 1 species
AUGACCAUUCUUGAACAGGAUUAGUUCAAUAGGUUAUACUUCUGUAUGCCUGGAUUCUGGAGAGAGAGGAAAUCAAGUCUGGUGGAUAAACCUCUGUCGGUCGGUGGUGGUUGGCGCAAUGGAGGAACGUUCUCAGUUGGCUGUAACAUCUGAGGUGGUCUAGCGGUUACCUGACAGACU